UCGGGGCCACACGCGUGCUACAUUGAAGGAAUCAGCGUGUGCUUUCCCUGUCCGACAGGACUGGGUAACCCGUUGAACUUCCUUCGUGCUGGGGAUAGGAAAUUGUAAUUAUUUUCCUUGAACGAGGAACUUCCAGUAAGCACGAGUCAUCAGCUCGUGUUGAUUACGUCCCUGCCCUUUGUGCACACCGCCCGUCGCUAUUACCGAUUGAAUUAUUUAGUGAGAUUCUCAGACUGGCUCUCGGCGUGGCCUUCGGGUCGUGCCGGUGUGCCGGAAAGAUAAUCGAACUUGAUUAUUUAGAGGAAAUAAAAGUCGUAACAAGGUUACC
rnacentral:rRNA from 1 species